rnacentral:rRNA from 1 species
GUGGGGAAUAUUGGACAAUGGGCGCAAGCCUGAUCCAGCCAUGCCGCGUGAGUGAUGAAGGCCCUAGGGUUGUAAAGCUCUUUCAACGGUGAAGAUAAUGACGGUAACCGUAGAAGAAGCCCCGGCUAACUUCGUGCCAGCAGCCGCGGUAAUACGAAGGGGGCUAGCGUUGUUCGGAUUUACUGGGCGUAAAGCGCACGUAGGCGGAUUGUUAAGUUAGGGGUGAAAUCCCAGGGCUCAACCCUGGAACUGCCUUUAAUACUGGCAAUCUCGAGUCCGGAAGAGGUGAGUGGAAUUCCGAGUGUAGAGGUGAAAUUCGUAGAUAUUCGGAGGAACACCAGUGGCGAAGGCGGCUCACUGGUCCGGUACUGACGCUGAGGUGCGAAAGCGUGGGGAGCAA